AGUAACAUUGAAAUUAACGUAGAAAAUAUUUAUUUUCAGCCACAGUAAAAAUCAAAUAUUCGUUUUCUCAAAAAAGAAAUGUAGCUCUGUGAUACUAAAGUCAACACAAGCAAAAAAAGGGAGGAAUUGAAAAUAGGUAUGUUGGCACAACCGCAAUUGAUUUUAGAUCCCGCCACAAACAACUGCACAAUUGGAGCAAAGUGAAGGCAAACAAUCUGCAAUCUGAUAACAUCAAAUGGAAAACGUUUUAAAGUAAGUCUAAGCGCCAAGGCAAAAUAAGGAAAAAUAAUAUUAGAUGGAAGUAAAACAGUACACGUUGUUGGACAUAGACAUCAGGUAAAAUGCUUAAGCUUGUGCCCAAAUUAUCAGCAAGUCUACAAGAAGAGGUGGAAUAUAUGCUUUCACUUAUAUUUGUGUUUGUGGGUGAAUUUAUUAGUAUUUAAACCUUCAGUCGAGGAACGAAUGGCUUGCUUUCCUCUGGAGUCACGCGCACAAAUAAGACGUUUUCCUGUUGAACUCUGUUUGCAGCUGGCUAAAGCAUUUUAAUUUCUGCCUGUGAACCAUUAUUCAAGGACCGUAAAAUUUAUAAUUCAGAUUGUGUCACGUUCUGUCAUCCUCAUCAAUUAGGCUGUGCAACUCCGGUCGAUUUGGGUUGGACAAAAUGUUAUAUGCAAAAUUCUUUUUUGCUUAAAGUGAUUCAAAAAUAUUUUCGUGCAGAGUAAAGAAAUUAUAAGAACCUCAGCAAGAGCAUAGAUUGUUUUUUUACUGAGAUAUAUUUGUGAUAAUUAUCUUAAGUAUUGCAAAUUGAGGCAAAGGUUAAGAUAUAAUUGGAAAUAAAUGUAAGUGAUAUUUAA